GUGUCAGCCGCCGCGGUAAUACGGAGGGUGCAAGCGUUAUCCGGAUUCAUUGGGUUUAAAGGGUGCGCAGGCGGAUACUUAAGUCAGUGGUGAAAUCCCGGGGCUCAACCCCGGAACUGCCAUUGAUACUGAAUAUCUGGAAUACGGUUGAAGUGGGCGGAAUGUAGCAUGUAGCGGUGAAAUGCAUAGAGAUGCUACAGAACACCGAUCGCGAAGGCAGCUCACUAAGCCGAUAUUGACGCUCAGGCACGAAAGCGUGGGGAGCGAACAGGAUUAGAUACCCUGGUAGUCCACGCCGUAAACGAUGAUAACUCGUUGUUGGCGACACACAGUCAGCGACUAAGCGAAAGCGAUAAGUUAUCCACCUGGGGAGUACGAUCGCAAGGUUGAAACUUAAAUGAAUUGACGG
rnacentral:rRNA from 1 species